rnacentral:lncRNA from 1 species
GACUUAGGGUUUUAUCUGAUAGAAUUCCAUGAGUUUUGGUGUUUGUCUAUUUCUGCAGGGGGUUAUCAGGAAAUAUGGAAGAAAGGCCCACACGUCAGGUUUACAUAGAGAUAUUAACGUGCCGCGCAAUUUUCUAUCAUCUAGAAGACUCCAGAAGCCACGGGAAGGAAGCGGAGGCCGAGAGGGCUCAGGGACAGGGCGCCCGCCCAAGUCCUGAGGGCGCCCGCCCUGAAGUUCUGCCCAAUCACGUCCAAACUCGCGGAUCGUGCUCCACCGACCUAAGGGAUCAAGGAUAACUGUUCAAUCAAUGUCGGUUUGAUCCAACAGCCCAUAUUCACUUGAAGGGACUAUAAAACCAGACCCCCUGACCCCUGGAGAUCAUACCUCUUCUACAUAAUCAAAGCUCGGGUUUCAAUUCUUCAUCCAAGUAGAGAGGAUCCCUCUAGUUCAUCUAGUUCUACCUCUAGUUCAUCUAGUUCUAGUUCUAGUUCAUCUAGUUCUAGUUCCUCUAGUUCUAGUUCUAGUUAGUUCUAGUUGUAAUCUAGAAAAUAGGGAGAGAGAAGAGG